AGAGUUUGAUCCUGGCUCAGGAUGAACGCUGGCGGCGUGCUUAACACAUGCAAGUCGAACGAACCUUCGGGUUAGUGGCGGACGGGUGAGUAACGCGUGGGAAUCUGCCCUCAGGAGGGGGAUAACGGUUGGAAACGACCGCUAAUACCCCAUAUGCCGAGAGGUGAAAUGAAUUUCGCCUGAGGAUGAGCCCGCGUCUGAUUAGCUUGUUGGUGGGGUAAUGGCUCACCAAGGCAUCGAUCAGUAGCUGGUCUGAGAGGAUGAUCAGCCACACUGGGACUGAGACACGGCCCAGACUCCUACGGGAGGCAGCAGUGGGGAAUUUUCCGCAAUGGGCGAAAGCCUGACGGAGCAACGCCGCGUGAGGGACGAAGGCCUCUGGGCUGUAAACCUCUUUUCUCAAGGAAGAAGAUAUGACGGUACUUGAGGAAUAAGCCACGGCUAAUUCCGUGCCAGCAGCCGCGGUAAUACGGGAGUGGCAAGCGUUAUCCGGAAUUAUUGGGCGUAAAGCGUCCGCAGGCGGCCUUUCAAGUCUGCUGUUAAAACGUGGAGCUUAACUCCAUCAUGGCAGUGGAAACUGAUCGGCUUGAGUAUGGUAGGGGCAGAGGGAAUUCCCGGUGUAGCGGUGAAAUGCGUAGAUAUCGGGAAGAACACCAGUGGCGAAGGCGCUCUGCUGGGCCAUUACUGACGCUCAUGGACGAAAGCCAGGGGAGCGAAAGGGAUUAGAUACCCCUGUAGUCCUGGCCGUAAACGAUGAACACUAGGUGUCGGGGGAAUCGACCCCUUCGGUGUCGUAGCUAACGCGUUAAGUGUUCCGCCUGGGGAGUACGCACGCAAGUGUGAAACUCAAAGGAAUUGACGGGGGCCCGCACAAGCGGUGGAGUAUGUGGUUUAAUUCGAUGCAACGCGAAGAACCUUACCAGGGCUUGACAUCCUGCGAACCUUUAAGAAAUUAGAGGGUGCCUUCGGGAACGCAGUGACAGGUGGUGCAUGGCUGUCGUCAGCUCGUGUCGUGAGAUGUUGGGUUAAGUCCCGCAACGAGCGCAACCCACGUUUUUAGUUGCCAGCAUUUAGUUGGGCACUCUAGAAAGACCGCCGGUGAUAAACCGGAGGAAGGUGUGGAUGACGUCAAGUCAUCAUGCCCCUUACGUCCUGGGCUACACACGUACUACAAUGCUACGGACAAAGGGCAGCAAACUCGCGAGAGCUAGCAAAUCCCAUAAACCGUGGCUCAGUUCAGAUCGUAGGCUGCAACUCGCCUACGUGAAGUAGGAAUCGCUAGUAAUCGCAGGUCAGCAUACUGCGGUGAAUACGUUCCCGGGCCUUGUACACACCGCCCGUCACACCAUGGAAGUUGGCCACGCCCGAAGUCGUUACUUUAACCCUUGUGGAGAAGGACGCCGAAGGUGGGGCUGAUGACUGGGGUGAAGUCGUAACAAGGUAGCCGUACCGGAAGGUGCGGCUG
rnacentral:rRNA from 1 species